CGCGGCCUAUCAGCUUGUUGGUGGGGUAAUGGCCUACCAAGGCGACGACGGGUAGCCGGCCUGAGAGGGCGACCGGCCACACUGGGACUGAGACACGGCCCAGACUCCUACGGGAGGCAGCAGUGGGGAAUAUUGCGCAAUGGGCGAAAGCCUGACGCAGCGACGCCGCGUGAGGGAUGAAGGCCUUCGGGUUGUAAACCUCUUUCAGCAGGGAAGAAGCGAAAGUGACGGUACCUGCAGAAGAAGCACCGGCUAACUACGUGCCAGCAGCCGCGGUAAUACGUAGGGUGCAAGCGUUGUCCGGAAUUAUUGGGCGUAAAGAGCUCGUAGGUGGUUUGUCGCGUCUGCUGUGAAAACUCGGGGCUUAACCCCGGGCCUGCAGUGGGUACGGGCAGACUAGAGUGUGGUAGGGGAGACUGGAAUUCCUGGUGUAGCGGUGAAAUGCGCAGAUAUCAGGAGGAACACCGGUGGCGAAGGCGGGUCUCUGGGCCAUAACUGACACUGAGGAGCGAAAGCGUGGGGAGCGAACAGGAUUAGAUACCCUGGUAGUCCACGCCGUAAACGUUGGGCGCUAGGUGUGGGGCUCUUUCCACGAGUUCCGUGCCGCAGCAAACGCAUUAAGCGCCCCGCCUGGGGA
rnacentral:rRNA from 1 species